UUUAGGUGACCCUGCCGAAGGAUCAUUG
rnacentral:rRNA from 1 species